rnacentral:lncRNA from 10 species
CUUGAAAAGAUUGAGAUGUUUGCAAAAAUUCUAAACAUACCAAAAAACUUUUAAUAUUAGUUUUCUCUGAUGUUAGGAUUAUGAGUAAUUUCUUUUCAAGUUUAUCUGUCUAUAUUUUUAGCUGUCUACAAAGUGACUUUUCAGGUUAUCAAAGCAAUUCUGAUUAUAUUCGAAAAAAAAAAAAGCAAAAGUUACUUUAAAAUAGCAAGUUCUACCAUGUAGUUGCACAUAAUUCUGAAGUGAAAGACAGUUGGAGGCCAGGGGUGGUAGCUCACCCCUGUAAUCCCAGCGCUUUGGGAGGCCAAGGUGGGAGGAUCACUUGAGACCAGGAGUUUGAGAUCAGCUUGGGCAACAUAGCCAGACCCUAUCUCUAAUUAAAAAAAAAAAAAGUUGGAAACUAUAAUGAAGAAACCACUACAGUGGUUAUUAUGUGAUCUUCUUUCUAGUUUCUGUGUAGCUCUGCUUUACAUAAUCUUUAAACCAUCUAUUUUGCUUCAUUAAUUGAGCACACAUUUAUUGAGAAACUUCUUUUUUUUUUGGUUCUUUUUUUUUAAUCUUUAUUUUUUUUACUAUACUUUAAGUUCUAGGGUACAUGUGCACAACGUGCAGGUUUGUUACAUAUGUAUACAUGUGUCAUGUUGGUGUGCUGCACCCAUUAACUCGUCAUUUACAUUAGGUACAUCUCCUAAUGCUAUCCCUCCCCCCUCCCCCCACCCCACAACAGGCCCCAGUGUGUGAUGUUCCCCUUCCUGUGUCCAAGUGUUCUAUUAAGAAACUUCUAUAUAGCAGCACUGCGCCAGGCACUGGGGAUACAAGUGUAAGCACGACAAAGUUCUUGGGGAGAAAUAUUAUAAAUAAACAAGGCACAUCUUUAAUUCCAGUUAACAAUGGUGCUUUUGGGAAAAAUAAAGCAGGGUGGGGGUGAGGGAGCGAUGCAGUAUGGUUGUUUCGGACACCGCAGUCAGGGUUUGAGGAGGCACUGACUCUAGGUCGGAGACCUGAACGGUAUGCAUUGGCCCUGUGAAAAUCCAGGUAAAGAGUAGUAGUCCGGGCAAGGGAAUAGCAAGUAAAAAGGAAAAUUCUCAAAUGAUCUAAGACCAAUUAGAAAAAAAAAAUAUAGCAGAAUACAUUUAGGUUUUUCUUUGUUUGCCUGUUUUUUUUUUUUUUUUUUUCUUUUUUAGACAGAGUCUCACUCUGUUGCCCAGGCUGGAGUGCAAUGGCCCUGUCUUGGCUCACCGCAAUCUCCACCUCCUGGGUUCAAGCGAUUCUUGCACCUCAGCCUCCAAAGUAGCUGGGAUUACAGGUGUGAGCCAGUGUGUCCAGUCUUUGUUUGCUUUUCAGGUUCAAGGAACACAUUGUUCCCUCAAAAAACAGACCGGCAGCUGAGAGAGGAUGGCAAUCCUGAUGGAUGAGAAAAAGAACAGAGCUGUGGACACCUGAGAGAAGACUAUAGGACUUCAAACAUCAACCCAUUUCAGUUCUGAUGUCAGCAAGGAGAGAACUGGCAAACUGGGCCAACCGUUUGAUUGACACAUAGAAGGCCAACUGGAUUUAAGGAUUCAAUAUGGACUGCCUCAAAUAUAAAGGGACACAUUUGCUACAUGGUCCAGAGACUUGUGUUCCUGGCCCAGAAUCUCCUUGUCCUAUCAAUUGUUGGAAAGACACUGCCUGCAUUUGCCCUUUUGCCUCUCUCUGUUCUGUACUUGCACUAUCAAAUAAAAACAAUUUCUAAUGGAUAGGCAUGUUUACUCAUAAGAGUUUUUAAGUGAUGUGUAAACUAAAUGCUGAAAUUUUAAGCUAAAAUGCUACUUAUUCGCUUGCAUGGAAAUACUAGGUAAUAACUGACUAAGUGCUGUGCUGACUUUAUGUGGAAGCAAGAUGGAGUUUCAGUAACAUUCUCCACGUGCUGUUCUGAAAAAUCAUGAAUACCUGAUUAUACAUAAAUUCUCUUUGAAAGGGAAUACAGUGUUUUUACUUAGCAGGAACAAAAUGGUUUUUCAGUUUUUCCAUAUAAGCAUCUCUCUUCGAAAUGUUUCAUUUUGGCAAAAGCUAACAGAAUAAUAUAUACAAAGAUGACCAAUGAAAACAGAAACACUGUAAUAAUGGGUUCUGAGAUUACAAAACUGAGAACCUGGGAAUCAAGCCCAGUUCAACAUUUACAAUAAUGGGAUGCUCACUUGCACCUCAUGAUCUAUAAGGGGAUGGUGGAAAAUGAGGAAGUGGAAGGGAGGAGUCUUAUCUGGUUCUCUGCCCAGUCAGUUCAUUGUUGCACUAGAAAGUGAUAUAAAUUCACAGUUCUCUUGUAAGGCUAGGUAAGGACAAGAAAUUCUCAGGGGAAAAUGAUAUAUCCAAUUUAGAAGCUGCAAUAUGGGUCAAAUAAAUAUAAAUGGGAAUAAUAAAUGCCAUCGAAAAAGUCUUGGACUAGGAAAAGCCCAGGGGUACUAGAUAUUGCAACGGUGGCACAUAAGGAAAGCAGUAACAGCAUUUCAUUAGGAUAUUUUAUUACAUGGAAGGAUUUUUUAAAGGAGAAAAUUUAUGUACUUCAUAUAUUUAAUUUGUACUCGAAUAUUUGAAAUGCUCCUUUUGACUAUAUGUAUAUAUAUUAUAUAUAUAUUCUUUUCUAUUUUUAUCACAGAGAGUAAGAUCGCUGAAAUCUCCAUAUUUAUAUUCAUAUAGUAAAAGCCUUCAUUAUAUAAAAAUAAUCUCCAAUGCCCACUCACAGGUCAAGUGUAUCUAACUCCGAGUUAAGAAACUGUAUACUGAAGUACAGCCCCGUCUUGUUCCUUUUAUAGCCAGUCUUUAUGCAAGAAGUCUGAAACAAAUAUUUCAGUGACAUUCCUCUGUAGUAAUGCCCCUUGUUUGUUUUAAAGAUUCAGUUUUUAAAACUUCUAUGCCCAAUUAAGUAGACAUUGUCCAACAGACCCGAUAGGAAAUCACACAUUUAAAAAUAUUACCUCAUAAUAUGUUGUCUUAUUGGUAGAUCUAAUGUAAUGGGUUUUAUAUUUCACUAUAUACAAAAUUUUUAAUAAUAAAAAUAUUUUCUUUAAAUUCACAUCAGAGCACUUUCUGGAUUUGUAAGUACUUUUUGGUUUCAAAAAUACAUGUUAAAUUUGAGAGAGAAUUUCUGGAUUCAGAAAGAGUUUAAUAUUUAACACACAAAAUGUGUUUUAAAUCAUCUGCGCCUUUGACAGCUCAGCUAACAAGCCAAUCUUUAGACUUUAUCAGAAACUUUUGCAUGUGGAAUUAGGGCAGGGACUCCUUGCAAUAAAUUUUUUAAAAUCUUAGCUUCAUUGGCUAAAUUUAAGAGUCUUGAGAUCUGUAAAUGAAGGAGAAUUAUAUAUUAUAAAUUGUCAUGGAAAGAAGGCACGUUUCUAAUUAAACAAAUUCUGACUUAGAAUAAAAUGACUGAAAUUUUUGGUGCUUUUUCCUCUCUAAAUUGUAGCAUUAGAGUAGUAGAUUGAUAUUAGAAGUGUAUUAGCUGAGUCAGUGCUUAGGGAGCAUUUUGAGAUCCUUGGCCUUUAAGUACCAUACACUUUCAAAGAAGCAAUUUUACUUAUAGCUCAAUAUAAUAUAAUGCAAUAUGGAGAAAUAAUGCCAAUGACAGCUUCAUGGGGUGUUGCCCUAUUUAUGAAACCUUAACAUGUCACUUAUGUAUGGCUGCUUAUGCUCCUCCAUACAAGCAGCUAAGACAACAAUUUUACAGAUGCAAAAAUUAAUAAAGAAAACAAAAGGAAGAAAUGAAGGCAGAAAGUGAAAGAAGAAAGAGACCAAAAAAGAUGUCUCAUGAUCACAAGCUAUUCCACAGGCAGAGGCAAAUGAUAAGAUUUGUUUACUUUUUUCUCACCAAAUGUAAUUAUAAAUCACUUGGUUCUUUUUUUACUGUUAAUAUUGUAAAUUCUGUAAAUCUCAAUACAUCUUUUCUGUCCCAAUCCCCAGAUGCCAUGUGGUCAUUUUAUAGAAGGACCAUUUCUCACCCACAUGAACCAAGGUGGUGAAAAAGGGAUGGUUGAUUUAAUACCCUAACUCAGAAUUUAUGUAGAUUUAAAAAUCUCUGACUUAAUGUUGCAUUAACUACUGGUGGCUGCUUUACUGCCUUUAAAACAUGCAUAUAUAAUUGGAUACUGUAAUGCUUUGUGGGUAAAAUAAAUACCAACUCACACUAAAAUAAAUAUUCUGCAUGAUGAAGUUCAUGUAGACAUAAAUUAAUCAUUUACCCGUUAACUGAUAUGCACAGGAAAGAAAUAGAUCACUUAUUAAAGGUUGCCUCAUCUAUAAAAUGGGAAAAUAAAAUGCCGAUAUAUUUUACAGUGCUGCUGUGAGGAAAAAUGUAUAAAAUUAUUGCUAAGCAGUUUAUAAACCAUAAAAUGCAGUAUGAACAUUAAAUUAAUAAUAUUUGUACUAAUUCAGAUUCAACACCCU